rnacentral:rRNA from 1 species
UACGGGGGGAGCAAGCGUUGUCCGGAAUCACUGGGCGUAAAGGGCGCGUAGGCGGCUUGGCAAGUGGAAGGUGAAAUCCCUCGGCUUAACCGAGGAACUGCCCUCCAAACUGCUUUGCUUGAGGCCGGGAGAGGUGAGUGGAAUUCCCAGUGUAGCGGUGAAAUGCGUAGAUAUCGGGAGGAACACCAAUGGCGAAGGCAGCUUGCUGGGACGGUACUGACGCUGAGGCGCGAAAGCUAGGGUAGCAAACGGG